AGCAAACAGGAUUAGAUACCUGGUAGUCCACGCCGUAAACGAUGAGUGCUAAGUGUUAGGGGGUUCCGCCCUUUAGUGCUGCAGCUAACGCAUUAAGCACUCCGCUGGGGAGUAUGACCGCAAGGUUGAAACUCAAAGGAAUUGACGGGGGCCCGCACAAGCGGUGGAGCAUGUGGUUUAAUUCGAAGCAACGCGAAGAACCUUACCAGGUCUUGACAUCCUUUGACAACUCUAGAGAUAGAGCUUUCCCUUCGGGGACAAAGUGACAGGUGGUGCAUGGUUGUCGUCAGCUCGUGUCGUGAGAUGUUGGGUUAAGUCCCGCAACGAGCGCAACCCUUAUUGUUAGUUGCCAUCAUUCAGUUGGGCACUCUAGCGAAACUGCCGGUGACAAACCGGAGGAAGGUGGGGAUGACGUCAAAUCAUCAUGCCCCUUAUGACCUGGGCUACACACGUGCUACAAUGGACAGUACAAUGAGCAGCGACACGGCGACGUGAAGCGAAUCUCAUAAAGCUGUUCUCAGUUCGGAUUGUAGGCUGCAACUCGCCUACAUGAAGCCGGAAUCGCUAGUAAUCGCGGAUCAGCACGCCGCGGUGAAUACGUUCCCGGGCCUUGUACACACCGCCCGUCACACCACGAAAGUUUGUAACACCCAAAGUCGGUGAGGUAACCUUCGGGAGCCAGCCGCCUAAGGUGGGAUAGGUGAUUGGGGUGAAGUCGUAACAAGGUAACCA
rnacentral:rRNA from 1 species